GAUGAACGCUGGCGGCGUGCCUAAUACAUGCAAGUCGAGCGAACAGACGAGGAGCUUGCUCCUCUGACUUUAUCGGCGGACGGGUGAGUAACACGGGGAUAACCUACCUAUAAGACUGGGAUAACUUCGGGAAACCGGAGCUAAUACCGGAUAAUAUAUUGAACCUCAUUGGUCAAUAGUUGAAUUCGGUUUUUCUGUCACUUAUAGAUGGAUCCGCGCCGAAUUAGCUAGUUGGUAAGGUGACGGCUUACCAAGGCAACGAUGCGUAGCCGACCUGAGAGGGUCAAUCGACACCCGGGCACUGAGACAGGGUACACACACCUACGGGAAGCCGCAGUAGAGAAUCUUACGCAAUGGACGAAAGCCUGACAGUGCAAAGCCGCGUGAGUGAUGAAGGUCUUCGGCUGGUAAAGCUAUGUUAUCAGGGAAGAACAAAUGUGCAAGUACCUAUGCACGUAUUGACGGUACCUAAUCAGAAAGCCACGGCUAACUACGUG
rnacentral:rRNA from 1 species